UGUGUAGGCGGUUGUUUAAGUUUGGUGUGAAAUCUCCCGGCUCAACUGGGAGGGUGCGCCGAAUACUGAAUGACUUCGAGUGCGGGAGAGGAAAGUGGAAUUCCUGGUGUAGCGGUGAAAUGCGUAGAUAUCAGGAGGAACACCGGUGGUGUAGGCGGCUUUCUGGACCGUAACUGACGCUGAGACACGAAAGCGUGGGUAGCAAACAGGAUUAGAUACCCUGGUAGUCCACGCCCUAAACGAUGCAUAUUUGGUGUGGGCAGUUCAUUCUGUCCGUGCCGGAGCUAACGCGUUAAAUAUGCCGCCUGGGGAGUACAGUCGCAAGGCUGAA
rnacentral:rRNA from 1 species